CCAAAGCAAAUGUGCCUACGGGUAGUGGGGGGCCGCUCCCCUCCCUGCCCAGAUGGAAUCAAAGGCAAACAGGAACCCUAGAGGGCCCAGCUGUGACCCUUGCUCCCCACACUCAGCAAGGCCCAUUAACUCCAUCCUUCCCGUAAUCCUUAACAUCCUUUUCCCAGCCCAAAGAAUCUCUAGAAACAGACCCACCUGCUAUUUUCUGAUCAGAUGCUGUCCAAGAAGGGACAGGUAUCUGCAAGUCUCACCCCCCACCCUACCUUUCUCCCCCAAAGAUACCCAGACCUUGUCCCGCUUUUCACGGGGCUCUCCGUAAGAAAUUGAACUAGUGGCUGUCCAAACCCUGUGCCCUUCUUGCUUCUGUGCCAAGAGUCUAGGGCUCAGACUCGUUUCUGUGGGUCAUACUAAUAACCAAAAUAGGAGUCCCUGUCCCCCUGACUCUCCUUCUGAACCCAGGCCUCCGGCUGGGGGUCGCUGCUCAGACCACUGCAAGUAUGUCUCCCAUUCGCCUGGGCCAAGCCGCGAGCUGAGGCAGAAGUCAGCUGGAAUCCGGGCAUCAUCAGAGCUGCAAAGGGACCUCAGAGGUUUUUCUAGCCCUGCUCUUUGUUAUUCAGAUGCGGAGGCAGAGUGGGGACGCCUCUUGUCCACGGUCACACAGCUGCUUGGUGGCCCCACUAGGACCAGCCUCAGCUGGCCUGACUUGUAGGCAUGUACCCUUGGCAACAGACCACGGUGGGGACAGCAGGCGGGCAGGUGGGAAGACGGGCACAGGACAGCCCUGGACCAUGGUGCUGAGAAAGGCAGUUGACAAAGGGACCCUGGGCCACACCUGUUACUCCUUUCCUUUUUUUUUAAUUUUUUAAUUUUUUAUUAUUUUUUUUGUUUUUGCUCCUUCCUUUUUUCUCCCUGAGGCUUCCCCCUGCGUGUCUAGGUAGGCCCCCCGCCACGGAGCUGUCCAAACCCAGAGGGCAGUAAAGAGGGCAAGAAGACAUGCACCUGGAACAGAGCCAGAGAGAUGGAGGAAAAUUCUUCCGGGUGUUCUUUUCUCUUCUACAUUUUCUGAAUUCCUUAUAAUGUGGCUUUAACAAUAAAAAGGAUAAUAAGAAUAAUUUGGGGGAAAGAAUAAAGAUGACAGAAGCAAGGAGAGAGAGGAAGAGGACAUUAGAAUCUAUUUUGAGUAGAUUGAAAAGAAAGAUCAGACAGAAAACAGAGGAGCAGACAUCAAGGAAGAGAGAGAGGGAAAAUUCAACAGCGUCCUUGGGGUCCAGUAGGGAAACUGAGGCGUCCCAGGCCUUGGACAGCCAUUCUGUGGCUCUGAGCUCAACCUUCCCCACCACAAGGUCACCACACUCUUUGGGAAGCGAGAGGAGAGAGGAAGAGGAGAAAGAGGCACCCUUUCUGGGCUCCUGGCAUGGCUACCCCAGCCAGCCCAGGCUCCCUGUCCACCCCAUCACCCCAAGGCUGUCGCCCUGCGCAAGAAGAGAAUUUUCUCCCACUCGGCAGAAGCCCUGGAAAUGGAGAGGAGGAGGGAAGCGGGGUAGGACAGACUGCGCAGAGAGGCCUGGCAGCCGAAGGAGAGGAAGAGAAGAAGCAGGGCUGAGGAACUGGAUCUGAACUGUGUUCAAAGGGAGCAGGAGUGCCGCCCAGGAUCAGAGGGCGAGUUGUCUACACCCAUUGAUGUCCCAGAGUCUGAGACCCAUGGCGCAGGAGAAUCAGGGCCUUGGGCUGGGAUCUGUCUCCCCUCACUGUUUCCUGUUCUCCCCCAGGCUCAAGAUCAAGGAGGCUGGUGCACACUCAGGAGACCUGGGUUCUGGUUCUGUUUUACUCGCUUCAACUGUUUAAUCUCUCUGAGCCUCAGUUUCCCCAUCAGAAAAACAAGGCAAGAAGUGGGACCACAUGGCCUUGGGCAUCCUGGGAUGCUAAGAAGACAGCGCCCCUCCACCUGUC